CCAGCAUCUGGCAGGUACCACGGGGCUUUAAGGCCAGGAGGUCAGGGGCGGGAGGGAGGGAGGUCUGAGCCAGGUCCCAGCCCUCCGACCUUCGACCUUCGUCAGGCUGGAGCUGGGAGGUCAGAGGAUUCUGAUGGAUUCCCUGGGGAGCUGUUCACAGUCUCAGUAGGAGCGUAGAUCUUCCUAAUUGGGCGUGUGGCCCAGGCGACCCGAGACUGGGUUUCCCUAUUGUGGGAUUGUGUUGGGUAAAGAAUCACAGUGCCUCCUGGGUGCCAGGCCUUUUGCUUGUCUCCUCUCAUGCCAUCAUCAUGUCCAUGAGCUCCCUGAGCCCCGAGACCAGGAAUCUGGAACGGGUCUGACUAGCUCUGCCCAUGACACCACGUGGUUCUCUUGUGCCUGUGACCACGCCCAGCUCUGCACUUUGCACCCAGUAGGUGCCCAGAACUCUUAGUGUGAACCCUCCCCCUCCUUCCCUCCUCGAAGCUUCUCUUUCCUCCACCUUCUGGACACACUCAGUUCAGCACACACCUGUUGAAGCCUCACCUGUGCACCCGGCUGUGCCCUCCUCUGCAGGGCAGCCCUGCCCUGUGGCCGCAUUUUCCACCCCCAGGGUGUGGCCACGUGGUGAGUUCUUGCUAACACAACGUGAGUGGAAGUGACACGUGCCCUUAGCUAAUAUGGUUAAAAAAUGGGUGUUCUGGGAGCAGGGGAGGGAGCCGCUCGGUGGGGAGUGUGAGUUCUGCAAGGUGAAAACAUUCUAGAGACCUGCUGUAUAGUGAUAUGCAUGCAGUCAGCCCUCUCGGACUGGACACCUGAGAAUGGUCCCCAUGGUACAUUUUAUUCUGUGUAUUUUUACCAUAAUGAGAACAAACCCCCCAAACCGGAUGUGCAGUCUCUGUAGACAAGACUCCAAGGGUGGAUGGAUGGAGGUUGGGUCCCUGAAUGAGCCUGUGGAAGGGCGCCUGGCCAGGAACAUCAACGUGAGUGUGACAUGAGUUAGACAUUCAUUGUUCCUGUUUAGAUCACCGAGAUCCUGGGCUCAUCUGUGACAGCAGUUCGCAUUGCCUUGACUAAUCAAGCUUCGGAGGUGAAGACCAAAGGCCCCCUGCCCUCGGGAGUUUGCAGGACACGGGGAGAUGGCAAACAUAGAGGCUGUAAUCCAAGGGUCUGGAGUUUAUCACUGCCAGGGGUACCGGAGGGCCACCCCAGAAUGCCUGUAGCAGCCCCAUCCCCGCACCUCCAAUCCCAUUGCAACCAUGCAGACCAGAGGCCUCAGCCGCAGGGAUGGGAAGUGGAAUCCAUCUGUCCUCCCAGGAAGCACAGGUGCAGCACAGGGCAGGAAAGAAGGUGAAGAAGGCUUUAGACUGAAAGAACUGUCUCGAUCGCAGCCCGCCUUCUUCCCAGACCCCUUCUUCCCCCAGUGCCCCAGGCUGGGGCAACAGCCCCCACCCCACGCCACCGCACAUGCCUGAAACCUGAAGUCAACCCCGCCCCUCCGCCCUCCCCACGCCCACAGCCAGGGACAUGGCCCGCGGAUGCCAACCCGGAAGCGCUCUCGGAGCCUGUUGCAUCCUUUCCUUCCCCCAGCAGCCCACCCCUGGGCUGCGGAAAUCUCUGAACUAGUCACCCGCAUCCAGUCUUUCCUUUCUCCCCGCUCCCCAGGGGAUGGUCCUGAAACCCACGCGGGCCUGGCCAUCACGCUGGCGCUGGAAAACUUCCCUUGACCCCUAGUGUCUGCCAGACAAAUUGUAAUAUUCCUGGGUGUCCCAGGUGUCCCAGGCCCAUGAGCGACCCUCUGUGUUUUCACGUGUUGCUCUUCCUGCCGGGAUGCCCUGCCCUCUCCAUCUUUGUGUCUGAGAGGGUGAAUCAGCUGGCUUGGCAAUGAUUAGGGCAGCGACGCCAGAGUAGAUGACCUCUUUGCGUGUGAGCGACGUGGCAGCAUAUGCCAUUUGGUAAGGGGUUUGCUAGGUGAGUACGUGUGAGUGUGUGUGAUGUGUACCCCUUUCCAUGCCCAGCCUGGCUCCUGGCAGUGUCCUGUGGCAGAACAAGCUUCCUUCUGAGCCCCGAUUAGGCUGCAGCCCCUGGAAGGGGCCCCCAUUCCUCCUUGAACAUCUAACCUGCAAGCUGGGCCCAUGCCUGAGCCCUGGCUUACUGCAGGACAUCUAGUCGCACCAGUGGCACCACCCAGUGUGAGCCUUUGAGAAACACGUUCCUAAGUACAGCUUCGUGGACCUGCUGGGCUGGCAGGUGCGGGAAUUUGAGCGAUUGCAAUUUGCACAGGUCGACCCUCAGACAAGCACGCCACCAAUUAUUUCUUGGUGAGCAGCUGCAUCAGUCUUUUGUAGCAUAAUGACAGGGAGUUCGGGAAGUGAGCUUCUGUGAUGGCUUUGGCUGGGGAGCUUUUUCAGCUGCCUCUGUCUUUGCCAGCCACUGUCACUCAUUGGGUACAGAAGAGAUCUCAGCCAGCUUCCUGGGGCCUGUUUGCGGCCAAGCUGCAGCUCUUCUGGCGGGGCUGCUCCAUGCCAGGCACCUGGCCUCAUCUCAUCCUCACCACAGCACUGAGAGGUAGAUGCUUUCGCCCCGGGAAAGACAGGGACCUUAAAAAUGAGCAAGGGGGCCUCCCAGGGGCUCGUGGCACAGCUGGAAUUUCAAACCUGUGUGUGUCUGAUUCCCAGACUCUUCCCCUUCUGCUGCUGUGUGUGUCCCUGAGGAGUCAGAGAUGAAUGCCUUUUACACCCAGUUCUUGUCUCUCCAAGUUCAUCCCCAGCCACUGUUCCGCAGACCCCCUGUGUUCUAUGUACAUCGAGCUUACGUCCAAGGAGAUGCUGUGUCCCUUAUGUCACGUGGGCAGCCACCACUUUCUGGAGUCUUAUUCUGUGCCCGAACGUGGCAGACUGCCACAAUGGCCGUGGACUCUUCCCCCCGCCCCCCCAGACUCACACCUCCUUGCCAUACUACUUGGGGAGCCCUCUCGUUCUUACCCUAGACUUGGCUGUGAACUUGCUUUGGAGAAUGUAACAUCUGCAAAUAUGCCUCAGGUAGAAACUUGAGAAGCUUUGCCCACUGGGCUGAUCCUCUCUUGCUCUUCCUGGAGCUCUGCCUCCUUGUGAGGAAGCCCGGUCCAGCCUUCUGGAUGCUGAAACACCCCUGGCCCAUUUGCAUCUGCUGCCUUGUUAACAUUCUGUCAACUGCCAGACGUGUGAGUGAGUCAUUCUGGAUCAUCCGGCCCCCAGCCCACCACCGGCUGGGCACAGACACACAAGAAAGAGCCCAGAGCACCGGAACCAUCCAACUGACCCACAGAAUCCUCUGCUAAAUAAACACGUGUUGAUUUAAAAUG